CUGACAGGCAGUGCUGACAGCCUUUGAGUUAACUGGGAGGAAGAAGCCAUAGCCAAGUGUUCUUUCAUUAGCAAUGCCAGGGAGGAGUGAACAAGACAAAUCAGGCUCCCACCGGGUGUCUGGAAGUACCUGCUGGAGUCAAGGCUGCAAAUAUUUGUUCAACAUAACAAUGCUUCAGGAUUGCUACAGAAAACACUUUUAUAAGCUGAGAUCAUGGAGAUGUCUGCAACACUGCUGUUAUCACACAGCCAUUAAUUAUUAAA